GAUGAACGCUGGCGGCGUGCCUAAUACAUGCAAGUCGAGCGAACAGACGAGGAGCUUGCUCCCCUGCCGUUAGCGGCGGACGGGUGAGUAACACGUGGAUAACCUACCUAUAAGACUGGGAUAACUUCGGGAAACCGGAGCCAAUACCGGAUAAUAUAUUCAACCGCAUGGUUCAAUAGUGAAUGACGGUUUUGCUGUCUCUUAUAGAUGGAUCCGCGCUGCAUUAGCUAGUUGGUAAGGUAACGGCUUACCAAGGCGACGAUGCGUAGCCGACCUGAGAGGGUGAUCGGCCACACUGGAACUGAGACACGGUCCAGACUCCUACGGGAGGCAGCAGUAGGGAAUCUUCCGCAAUGGGCGAAAGCUUGACGGAGCAACGCCGCGUGAGUGAUGAAGGUCUUCGGAUCGUAAAACUCUGUUAUUGGGGAAGAACAAAUGUGUAAGUAACUAUGCACGUCUUGACGGUACCUAAUCAGAAAGCCACGGCUAACUUCGUG
rnacentral:rRNA from 1 species